UCAAAAGUAUAGGGUGCCAUCAUGACAACCGGCCUAGACUGAGCAUGGCUGAGGGACCGUAAAGGACCCAAUAGCCAACCCAUGAGCGAGACCAUGUCCAAAGGGGGCUAGAAAUAAGCUCGCAAAAUCUGAUUGUGAUGAUGGCCUUGACUGCCUGUUUUACUGGUUUCACGCAUGAUGGACGACGCAGCGCGCGGCGCUCUGCCUCCUUCAGCUUCGACAAUUUUCGAAGUGGUGCCGUCGCUGCGGACGCACCCAAUCAUCAGGAUGGUGCUGAACUCAGGACUAGAUCAAUGGAGUGCCACACAACUGCACAGCGAGCGAGAGAGAGGGGGGGGGGGGGUGGGGGGCAAGCUCCCGGCGACUCAUUCCCGCCGCCCCUGUCGUCUCCGGCUGCUAGAUCUCUAUGCACGUCACUUGGUGUUGCAGCUCGAGACUCGGUGCAAUCUGACAGGACCGACUUGGUGACAUUCAUUCUUUUGCCGUAGCUUCGGAUGCGUGCAUUUGGACUUUGACGUGCUACUGUAAUUUCCUCCAUCUGCUGCUGCUGCUGCUAAAGGGAUCGGGACUAUGACGUCGCUCCAUGGAAUAAUUUAUCAAACCAGCUUGGCUGAAAGGACAACGAGGGAUUUCUCUUGAAAGCGAGACACCCGCAGAAUGGUUGACGAAGUAGUAAUUAAUACAGCUGCUAUCUGAUGUGAGAGAGAGAUAUAUACGCAGCCAGUAAAAAAAACAGAUCAAAUUUAGCAGAGUACUGGACGUGGCUGUAUGACACUGCAACAGCUUGGUGGAGAAAGAUAUUACAAUAUCCAGCUGAUGAAAUCCCGGAGAAAUUAAGUUGACC